rnacentral:rRNA from 1 species
UACAGAGGGGGCAAGCGUUGUUCGGAAUUACUGGGCGUAAAGGGCGCGUAGGCGGCCUUCUAAGUCGAACGUGAAAUCCCCGGGCUCAACCCGGGAACUGCGUCCGAUACUGGAAGGCUUGAAUCCGGGAGAGGGAUGCGGAAUUCCAGGUGUAGCGGUGAAAUGCGUAGAUAUCUGGAGGAACACCGGUGGCGAAGGCAGGUCUCUGGGCAUUAACUGACGCUGAGGAGCGAAGGCAUGGGGAGCGAACAGG